UGCCACAGUAUUUUCUUCUUACGACUCCAUGGUUUCUUUCCCCAGAACGUGCAACCUGAUGGGCUUAAAUAGUGUAAAUCUGAGAUCUCUUUCAUGCACAGCCAACAGAACUCACAGCCACAGACAGCACAAGUCAUAUGAUUGCAGCUUCCAUCAUUCAUUUUUAUUAUAUAAGCAGCACAGCGUGGGCAUGGCUUUAUGUCAUCAGCUGCUGCUCCAGACUCCUGGCUGUAACUGAUAGACGAGGAACGGAUUGUUCUGAGGCGCAGACUUUGAGCUCUCUCCUGGCGAGCAGCAUCACAGGUCUG
rnacentral:lncRNA from 1 species